UUCGACCGAAUCGAAAUUUCUCUUUGUUUCAUGAGCUCUGAAGCAGAACUAAUUGUAAAAAGACAAAGAGAAAUUUCGUUUCGGUCGAGAAAUUCCGCCUCGUGGAAAAUUUCUCUUUGUUUCAUGAGCUCUCCAGCAGAACUAAUUGUAAAAAGACAAAGAGAAAUUUCGUUUCGGUUGAAAAAUUCCGCCUCGUGGAAUCAGGCCUU